GGGUAGUGAGGCCCUACAGAGGGAUCUGGACAGGCUGGAUAGCUGGGCUGAAGCCAAUGGGAUGGGAUUCAACAAGACCAAAUGCCGGGUCCUGCACUUUGGCCACAAUAACCCCAGGGAACGCUACAGGCUUGGGGCAGAGUGGCUGGAAGACUGUGUAGAGGAAAUGGAGCUGGGGGUGUUGAUUGACGCUAGACUGAACAUGAGCCAGCAGUGUGCCCAGGUGGCCAAGAAGGCCAAUGGCAUCCUGGCUUGUAUCAGAAAUAGUGUGGCCAGCAGGAACAGGGAAGUAAUUGUCCCCCUGUACUCAGCACUGGUGAGGUUGCACCUCAAGUACCGUGUUCCAUUUUGAACCCCUCACUACAGGGAGGACAUUGAGUUCCUGGAGCAUAUCCAGAGAAGGGCAUUGAAGCUGGUGAGGGGUCUAGAGCACAAGAUUCAUGAGGAGUGGCUGGGGGAUCUGGGAAUAUUCAGUCUGGAGAAGAGGAGGCUCAGGGGAAACCCCAUUGCUCUCUAUAAAUACCUGAAGUGAGGUUGUGCUGAGCUUGGGUUAGCCUCUGCACUCGAGUAACUAGUGAUAGGACUAGAAGGAAUGGCCUCAAGCUGUUCAAGGGGAGAUCUAGGCUGGGCUUUAGAAAAUACUAUUUUUCUGAGAAAGUUCUCAGGUGCUGGAAUGGGCUGCCCAGGGAGGUGGUGGAGUAACCGACCCUGG
ensembl:lncRNA